AUGGAUCCCUCUCUCAAUUACGUCUCUCUCUUUCUCACAAACUCUCAGAUUUCUUCUCUCCUCACCUCAAAUUGCAGCAAGGACUCUUUUAUCCUCACCUCAAAUUGCAUCAAGGACUCUUCUAUCCUCACCUCAAAUUGCAGCAAGGACGUUGGGGCGUGGAUCUCCUACGCUCAACGAGUCUUUGAUUUGGCUAAGACUAUAACAAGUUCUAAUCUUCAAAAUUGUGUUCGCUUACAGGAUUCCUGGAAAGUGAAGGUCAGAGUAAUUAGGCUAUGGGACGCCAUUAACCUCAAUAACAAUGAACUAAUUAGCCUUGACAUGAUACUGCUUGAUGAACAGGGCACUAUGAUACAUGCCAAGGUAAUAAAACAUAUGGUUAACAAAUUCAGGCCAUUGAUCCAAGAAGUCAUAUCUGUUGGAAUAUACAGGGAUCAAAAAGUUAAUAUUAGACUGUGGGGUAAUAAGGUCGACCAAAUUGAUGAAGAUUCUAUGGGACGUGUUGUCAUAGUAACAUCAACAACUGUCAGAAAACUGAAAGGUGCGACCAAAGUAUAUAUCGAUUUGGAUAUCCCUGAAACAGCUGAGCUCCAAACGAGGUAUUGCUUGGAAGAUGAUAUCAUAGAGGAAACAGGGCCAGAAGCCCACUUGCAAGGAACAAUUCAAGAACAAAUGCUCUAUAACAGAAAGACACUAAGAGAAAUAACUGAAAUUGCAUAUGAAUCUGAAAAACAGGAAAAGUUCUAUACUGCAGAAGCAACCAUUAAGUCAAUUGAUACAUCAGAUGAGUGGUAUUACAUAGGAUGCGGCAAAUGUAACAAAAAACUACAAAAAGAAGGGAAUCAUUUCUACUGUCCAAAAUGUGAGAAAGAACCUGAGAAGACAUGUCCAAGGUACAAACUUAAGCUAGAGAUAUGUGAUCAUACUGCAACAACAACUUGCACCAUGUUUGAGACAGAAGCAAAAAAACUGAUUAAGCAAUCUGCAAGAUUCUUGAUAGAUAGGGAUGACUGUGAUAUCCAUGAGCAGGCAGAAAAAUUUCAGAAAAUAUGUGGGCAGAGAUUGAUUUUUCAGUUCAGACAGAAUGACUAUAAUUUCAAGUACGGUUACCAAGAUUACACUGUUCAUAGAAUAUUUUUUAUGGACUCUGAAGAAGAUUCAUCAGUACAACAUGUUAAUGUUGAACAGGAAUCUAGCCCCAAAAGAAAGCGUACAAUAAGCAUUACUGGAGACGAAGAUUCCGAAAAAGAUGGAACUGAGAAUUAUUCAAAGACCAGCAUAAGGCUUACUGGUGUUGAUAAGGGAUCUAAGAAGAAAGGAAUUCAGAAUGAUAACCAUGAGCAAGUGAACAAAUUAUCACUUUCAAAAACUAUAAAGCAAGAAUCAGAGGAUGAUGAACUCACUAUUGACCAGACUAAAAGGGGUAGGAGACGGAGCACAGGUCGUGCUGCACAUCUUGACGAUGAAUCAAAAGCUGAAAGUAGUCAGGAAAUAAACAAGUCCAAGUCUAUGGAAUCAAGCCCCAAGAGGAAGCGUGUUGUACGCAAAUGCGUCGGUGUUGAUCAGGAGCACAAUGAUUCAAGGCCUAAGACAAGGCUUAGUUGUGUCGAUAAAAAAUCACUGAGCAAAGGCAUUCAGAAGUCUGGUGUAUUAAGGACUCGAAAGACAAGUCGCUAA
rnacentral:rRNA from 1 species